CUCGUUUGGUCUCAGGGUUUCCCCCCGGGAUCCCUGCCUGUUCCCCGGGCUGGGAACCCACGAGCCAACCUAGCCCUGGGGUGAUCCACCCGGUCAUUUGGUGGCCCACGAGAUGGGGGUAGCCCGGCCCUUUCCACGCCUUUUCCCUGGGAGAGCCUUCCACGCCUCCAGUGGUCGGGGACGAAACCCUCGUUCUCUCGGUCUCGCGAAUGAGAGGCGGCGGCGGCAAGAUCCGAGAGCGACGCUCCGCCCUCCUCCGUCCAAGGCUCCGCCCGGCAACCGGAGGCGACGCACCACCGCCUACACCUCCACGAACUGCUCCUCCGGCGGGGGCAACGGCGACCGGGGUCAUCAUCCUCCCUCUUCCCGGAUCUCGUCUCUGCCCAGAGAUCGAAGGACCUUCUCUGUUGUCUGAAAUUUGUACCAAGUGAGCAGCUGUACUGAAGAACAUCGAACGUUUUGCAGUGCAUCUAACUAACCUGACCUCACAAUAGGUGCUGAUUUGUAGGUCUGCUCUGAAAUUAGAAGUUGGCUUUAUCUGAAGACCUUGUGUAAAAUUGCUUGGUGCCUUUCGAAAGAUUUCACUCAGAGCAAGAAAGUUGUUCAGUGAUCAUCAAGUUGCGGUACCUCAUGUCGAUGCGAAGUGGAGAGAAGACCCGAGUAGGGCUAGUGGUCGUUGCCUUGCAAUUAAUCUUAUUCAAAAGUCCCUCUGCCUCUGACAUGGCAAUUGAUAAUUCAAGUUUUUUUAUUGUUGUGAACAAAGUUGAACGAUGAUGGCACGUGAAAACGGUUUAGGCCAACACUUGGUCGCAGUGAAAUGUGGACCGGACGGUAUUUGAACCUUGGUGAACUGAUGGUUAUCAAUUGUAAUAUUUCUUUCUAGUUUACCGGAAUUCUGAAAUUUUGUAUGUGUUUUUUAGAAUUAUUUGUGAAAUUCUUAUCUAUUGUCAGUUAUUAUCUGUAGAAUUUUCUAUGAAGGCUGUGAAAUUUUGUAUGUACAAGUC